CAGUCGCCACGGGAAUACGUAGGGUGCAAGCGUUAAUCGGAAUUACUGGGCGUAAAGGGCGCGUAGGCGGACUGAUAAGUCAGGGGUGAAAUCCCAAGGCUCAACCUUGGAACUGCCUUUGAUACUGUUUGUCUUGAGUUCGAGAGAGGUAAGUGGAACUGCGAGUGUAGAGGUGAAAUUCGUAGAUAUUCGCAAGAACACCAGUGGCGAAGGCGGCUUACUGGCUCGAAACUGACGCUGAGGCGCGAAAGCGUGGGGAGCAAACAGGAUUAGAGACCCGCGUAGUCCCUGUCUCUUAUAC
rnacentral:rRNA from 1 species